CCGCCGCGUGUUCCUCCUUCCAGCCGAUUGGGCAGAGCCGCACCCAACCCUAGCCUCCAAUGCACAACCACCCACUCCUCCCUCACCUCCCUCCCACAUCCGCCGCACCCCUCUCUCUCUCUUCCUUGUGUGUGCGUGGCGACGGGAGCGUAAGACGCAAGGAAGGACGAUGUCGUCGCCCCGUCGCCUAGGCACCAUGGCGGCGCCCACCGCGCGGGUUGGGGCUGGGCAGAAAGCCGGCGCCUACGUGCCAAAGUAGCGGGGUCGACCGUGGAGGGUGGCUCGCCAGCUAGAGCAGUAGGAGCAAGGAGGUCGUUGAGCGGCAAAUGCGGGCAGGGUCGGUAGUGGAUGGAGGCUCGCCGCCCGGAGCAGCAGGAGCAAGGAGGACGAUUUGGUUCAGGUUUGCCUCUAUCUUCUCCCCCCUCUAUCUGCCCUCUUAAUUUCCCCCUUGUCUCGUGGAUGAGGGCGUCGGUGCACUGUGAGCAGUGGAUCGAGAGUGGACCGUAGCAGGAGCAUGGAGCUGAUGAUAUUUGACUGCAUUACUGAAUCUUCUAGGGUUCGAGCAGCAGCUGAGCUUAGGGCAAGACAGGCACAUUAUUUGGAUCAUGAACUUACAGGAUGGUUUCCCCCGCCACAACCAUUGUAAUCAUCCUGCAUUCCCCCGUCAAGCGUGCAUCGGUGCUGGAUAUGCAAGCUGCAAUAGCACAUCAACGGGCAGGCAAGAGCAAGAAGAUGGUCACGAUUUUUGCCAAGCAGUGGAAGACAAUGUUAACUGAAGCCAAUUUUGUUGGUCAUGGAUUUACAAGAAAACCAGUAGAGUAUGAAAAUGUUCUCAUGGAACUCACCCUGAACUGAAAUCUAUCUUCAACCUUGCUUAAACUGAAAGCAAUGCAUGGUAUUGUUCAAUUCGAAGUGUACUUGACGUGUGCAGAUCUAAGGAUGAAGGGAAGAAGACAAAAUUUAGCUGAAGAGUUGAAUAAGAUUAAGUCUGCUUCAGUAAUGCUGUGGCAUGCCGCAAAACAACAACAUUUUUGCUGCUGCGAUUUGGUCCAUCCUGUGCAUUUCAGUUCCUGGUGCUCUCCAACGUUUGUCAGCUAAUGCCACCAGGAGGGCUGCCCACCCAAGACUUGUAAUGUGGGCAUCGGUACUGUCCUUUGACAUAUUUGGAAGUCACAUAAAGAUGUCGUUUCAACUCCUUCAGGUGCCAGGCCAAGGAUGUUACUCAUCGCUGCUGUGAAGACCUUGCGGUGUGGUGUUGGUUGUUCACAUCUUAUACUAGAAUAUAUAAAUUGAGCAUCAUGUCUGCAUCCAUGCUAUUUUUUGGUUUCUGUAAUCUAACCACCAAUAGUAUGAUAUAUAGGAUCUCUGGACAAACAACCACAAUGGGAGCAUUGUUUGGUGCAGCACAUACAAUAGCCACUACAAUGACCAGUGAAGCUGCAAAUUAACCUUGGAGAGUAUGGAAUAAUGAAUGCAAUGUAUUGUCUAUAGUUCCAACUCCUAAUGUCAACUUAAUGUCAACCUCGUGUGUCAGUGCUUUACAAUGGAUGAGAAAAGGUCAAAAACCGUAACUGAAGCUUUUGUCAGGUCGUAUAAAGAUGGCCUUAUUUACAGGUUAGUAUCCUCAUCUUCCCUUGUUCCAAGUGUUAAGCAUUUGUGUUUUGCCUGCUAAGUAAUGCCAUGGUGUUUUGACAUAAAGUUGUGAGUCAGUGUACUGGU